AUUGAUUUUAUGCUUGCAUAAAUGAUUUUUGGAUUCGGAGCGGGUGGCGAACUGGUGAGUAACACGUGGGUAACCUGCCCCGAAGCGGGGGAUAACAUUUGGAAACAAGUGCUAAUACCGCAUAAUUAGUUGGAACCGCAUGGUUCCAACUUGAAAGAUGGCUCUGCUAUCACUUUGGGAUGGACCCGCGCCGUAUUAGUUAGUUGGUGAGAUAAAAGCCCACCAAGACGAUGAUACGUAGCCGACCUGAGAGGGUAAUCGGCCACAUUGGGACUGAGACACGGCCCAGACUCCUACGGGAGGCAGCAGUAGGGAAUCUUCCACAAUGGACGAAAGUCUGAUGGAGCAACGCCGCGUGAGUGAUGAAGGUUUUCGGAUCGUAAAACUCUGUUGUUAAAGAAGAACAAGUGUUAGAGUAACUGUUAACACUUUGACGGUAUUUAACCAGAAAGCCACGGCUAACUACGUGCCAGCAGCCGCGGUAAUACGUAGGUGGCAAGCGUUGUCCGGAUUUAUUGGGCGUAAAGCGAGCGCAGGCGGUUUUGUAAGUCUGCUGUGAAAGCCCUCAGCUCAACUGAGGAAGUGCAGUGGAAACUACAAAACUUGAGUACAGAAGAGGAAAGUGGAACUCCAUGUGUAGCGGUGAAAUGCGUAGAUAUAUGGAAGAACACCAGUGGCGAAGGCGGCUUUCUGGUCUGUUACUGACGCUGAGGCUCGAAAGCAUGGGUAGCGAACAGGAUUAGAUACCCUGGUAGUCCAUGCCGUAAACGAUGAAUACUAGGUGUUGGAGGGUUUCCGCCCUUCAGUGCCGCAGCUAACGCAUUAAGUAUUCCGCCUGGGGAGUACGACCGCAAGGUUGAAACUCAAAGGAAUUGACGGGGGCCCGCACAAGUGGUGGAGCAUGUGGUUUAAUUCGAUGCUACGCGAAGAACCUUACCAGCUCUUGACAUCUUCUGCCAACCCAAGAGAUUGGGCGUUCCCUUCGGGGACAGAAUGACAGGUGGUGCAUGGUUGUCGUCAGCUCGUGUCGUGAGAUGUUGGGUUAAGUCCCGCAACGAGCGCAACCCUUAUUAUUAGUUGCCAGCAUUUAGUUGGGCACUCUAGUGAGACUGCCGGUGAUAAA
rnacentral:rRNA from 1 species